rnacentral:lncRNA from 1 species
CCAUCUCUGUGUUCUCAUGGGAAUCUUCAGAGCUUUCGUUCCCUUGAAGGGACCAGACCCUCACCCAGCCACCUGCUUUUAGCAGCCAUUACAGGCUGCAGAAAAGACACAGUCCGAUAGAUAUAGACCUCUAACUCAGCAACAUGUGCUGAGCUUCCUGACCUUGCCUGACCUCCUUAGUCACUAGGAAGCCAGAUACCUCCAUGUGGCAAGGAUCCAAUCAGAAGUUAGCUGGCAGAUUCUGGAUGUGCUUUAUGGUAACAGUGAUGGUACAGAACAUAGCAACAUCCCUGGGAGGGCCUAUAGGCCAUAAUAACCAGCUGACCAAUCAACACCGGCCAGGUCGCCCAAGCCCGAAAGUGCACCAAUCCUAAGACUGUUUCAGACCCCAGACACUCCCCUUGCUCCACCCUAAUAAAUUGGAGGGUGGACCACCCUCGGUCCCUCCAAGUCCUUCUCACUCAACCUGCUGUGUCAGACAGACAGAGGAACCGAGUUAAUACAGUUAACUCAUUAAUUAAUUAAUUAAAGACUGUUUUUUGCAUUGGAUUGGGUCUCUUGAAGGAUUUUAGAAAUUCACAGGGCCUUUUCAUUAUUACUGUCCAGCACAUUUGCAUACUGACACGUGCAUGACACAUCCAUGAGGAGGCUGCUGUGGGCUUUUGAUAGGAGAGAUGGGACAGCUGAGUCCUUCUGCAACAGUGAGGAAAGUUCUGCAAGAACUGUCUUAUAGUAUCCUAUGGUAUCUAUAUCUCUAACUAUGAUGCUCUGAGCCUUAAGAUCAAACUUCACACCACACACAGCUCUGGUAGGAAUGGAAGUGCCAUGGAGACAGAGGGAGCACUGACCUCAUCUUGUGAAGAAUGUUGCAGAGUCAUCAGUUUGGGGGGAGGGUGCUCCUCCCCGCCCACAGCAGUUCCUUGGCAGUCUCAACUCACAGUGCUCUCAUUUAAAGUGAUCCUGUGUAUAGCCACGGGAUCUCCAACUGCUCCCCUUUUUCCAUGCAGACUGGAAACUCAUAUUGAAAAACUCAAUAUUGUGGAUCUCUGCAAGUUUGAGGCCGGCCUGGUCUACAGAAUGAGUUCCAGAACAGGCUCCAAAGCUACACAGAGAAACCCUGUCUCAAAAAACCAAAGGAGGGAGAAAGAAAGAAAGAAAGAAAGAAAGAAAGAAAGAAAGAAAGAAAGGAAGGAAGGAAGAAAGAAAGAAAAGAUAUAAGCCAACCUAAAGCUGGGCAUUCGCAAGGAAUGAAUAAACAAAGACUGACCUCCCUGAGGAAAUCUGAUCAUGCCAACAACAGUCUUCGACUUGAGCUGCAAGAUUAGGCCUGUGAGUCUCCUGCCUGCAAGUUCACAUUGAGGUCUGUGGACUUGCCAGUCUCCAGGAUAGCAUGGAUCAGUUCCUUAAAGUAAAACUUGUUCUUGUUCCCUCUCUCCUCUCUCUUCCUCCCUGCCCCUCCCUCUCCUCCCCCUGCCACCCCUCCUCUUCCCAUUUGGUUCAGUUUAUCUGAAGAAC